GAUGAACGCUGGCGGCGUGCCUAAUACAUGCAAGUCGAGCGAACAGACGAGGAGCUUGCUCCUCUGACGUUAGCGGCGGACGGGUGAGUAACACGUGGAUAACCUACCUAUAAGACUGGGAUAACUUCGGGAAACCGGAGCUAAUACCGGAUAAUAUAUUGAACCGCAUGGUUCAAUAGUGAAAGACGGUUUUGCUGUCACUUAUAGAUGGAUCCGCGCCGCAUUAGCUAGUUGGUAAGGUAACGGCUUACCAAGGCAACGAUGCGUAGCCGACCUGAGAGGGUGAUCGGCCACACUGGAACUGAGACACGGUCCAGACUCCUACGGGAGGCAGCAGUAGGGAAUCUUCCGCAAUGGGCGAAAGCUUGACGGAGCAACGCCGCGUGAGUGAUGAAGGUCUUCGGAUCGUAAAACUCUGUUAUUAGGGAAGAACAAAUGUGUAAGUAACUGUGCACGUCUUGACGGUACCUAAUCAGAAAGCCACGGCUAACUACGUG
rnacentral:rRNA from 1 species